UCAAGCGAUUAAGGGCGUACGGAGGAUGCCUAGGUAUCGAGAAGCGACGAAGGACGUGUCAGGCUGCGAAAAGCAUCGGCGAGCUGCCAAGAAAGCUU
rnacentral:rRNA from 1 species